rnacentral:rRNA from 1 species
UACGUAGGGUGCGAGCGUUGUCCGGAAUUAUUGGGCGUAAAGAGCUUGUAGGCGGUUUGUCGCGUCUGCCGUGAAAACCCGAGGCUCAACCUCGGGCCUGCAGUCGAUACGGGCAGACUAGAGUGUGGUAGGGGAGACUGGAAUUCCUGGUGUAGCGGUGAAAUGCGCAGAUAUCAGGAGGAACACCGGCGGCGAAGGCGGGUCUCUGGGCCAUAACUGACGCUGAGGAGCGAAAGCGUGGGGAGCGAACAGG